rnacentral:tRNA from 2 species
ACCUGGCUGGCUCAGUUGGUAGAGCAUGUGACUCUUGAUCUCAGAGUUGUGGGUUCAAGCCCCAUGCUGGGUG